rnacentral:misc_RNA from 1 species
UAAAUGUCCUGUGUUCGAACGUUUGCUGUACGAUACCGACUACCGACAUUCUGAAUGAAUAUGAUCAUCGUAGUCGUGUGAACUUUCACUUUUUAUAAAUAAAUAUUCGCGGUAACGUUUAUGUCAAGUGCAUUCGAAGAAGUUCGCGACAAAAGUAAAGUGCCAAGUGAACAAUGUCACUAAAUUUUAAGAUGUCAACGUUAACGACCUUUUUAGUAAUUUGUUUAGUUAUAGUUUAUUGUAAAAGUGAAAAAGAGUCUACAACUAGACAAUCUAUAGCAGAUGAGACCAUAGAGACUACCUUAAAUGAUAAGAGAUAUCUUCAAAGACAAUUGAAAUGUGCUCUAGGAGAAUCUGCGUGUGAUCCAGUUGGGCGACGUAUUAAAAGCCUGGCACCUUUAGUUCUAAGAGGAUCUUGCCCCCAGUGUAGUGAGAAGGAAGUGAAGCAAAUUAAGAAAGUUUUAUCCUAUGUCCAAAUCAACUAUCCAAAAGAAUGGAACAAAAUGCUGCAACAGUACGCAUCUGGAUAGAUAAAUUAGAAUACCCUUUGGAAUAAUAAAAUUUUGAAUUUUUAUAUACAUUGGAAUAAACUGGCAUAUAAAUUAUACCAAAAAACACAAAUACGUACCUGGACGUAUUACACUUAAAAUAUACCUAUAAUCAAAUAUUUUUGUUAAUGUUUAAUUAAAAAUUGAAAAAAAUCAAGGUCUGUUCGGGGAAAAGUCGGCUAAAUUGUACCAAAUAAUUAUUUGUUCUUACUACCUUACUGUUUCAGAUUUAUAGUUAUGAACGCAAUUUUAUCAACUUAUUCGGGACCUUUAGUUCCAAACUAUUAGCAGCUUCAAGGUUAAUAUACAACUAUUAAACGUGAUAGUGCAUAAAUGUUUUAAGUUAAGAAACGCACGUGAAUGCUCUUUUGGCAUGCUCUAUAUCGAGAUAUAUACAGAGUUCACAAGUAUACGAUCAAAAGUACAUCUUUUUGAUAAUAUCUGAAAAAGUAAAAUUUGGUAAGAAAUGUUAGGAGUUUUUGUUGAUAUUUUUGGUUGGCCCAAUAUUGUUAGUUUUUAUUGAUUGUUUAAACUACCUUUUUAUUUCCGAAUUUACGGGAUCAAUCCAUGGAGUUCUUCCCCAUAUUUACUUUAGCCUUCAACGAGUUUUAUUAUAAGUACUAAAAACUUACUCCAUAUUUUAACAGACAUAGUUCGUACAGAAUUUUAACAUUUUAAUAAUUGUAAAAUAUGGUACAAUUUAUUCGAAUUAAAUUAUAUGUAUCCUAUGAUCUAAAAGUUUUUUGAUCCAGCAUGCUUCGUAUGAUCACAGAUAAAUAUUUUAUAUAAAAAGUAUUUUUUGAGUAUCAAUUCCAAAGCCUGCCUGGUUAUAAAACUUUUUGAUCGUAAUAUCUUACUACAAUAUAUAAUAUUGUAAUACCUAAGAAGAAUUUAUAUAAAAAGAAUCUAUUAUAUUAUUACAUUAUCAGAUUUAAUUAACACUUUAUCUGUCAUUGUUAUAGCACUGAUAACGAAUGUUUCACUAUAUACUGUUUGUACUGCAUAUACUGUAAUUCAUAAAUGUAUAGUUUUAAUAAAUUAAUGUAAAUUAGGCUUGUACAUA